AUGAGAGAGAGAGAAGUAAAGAAUGUAAGCUAUGUGUGAAAGAGGUAAGGAAUGAGAGAGAAGUAAAGAAUGUAAGCUAUGUGUGAAAGAGGUAAGGAAUGAGAGAGAAGUAAAGAAUGUAAGCUAUGUGUGAAAGAGGUAAGGAAUGAGAGAGAGAGAAGUAAAGAAUGUAAGCUAUGUGUGAAAGAGGUAAGGAAUGAGAGAGAAGACAAGUAAAGAAUGUAAGCUAUGUGUGAAAGAGGUAAGGAAUGAGAGAGAGAGAAGUAAAGAAUGUAAGCUAUGUGUGAAAGAGGUAAGGAAUGAGA